UGUCUAAUAUGAGGAGAACUGGCACUCGCGGGUUAUUUCCGGGUUUCUGGACUGGUUGCCGUAAUAAUCUUUGACCACGCGGGGCGCUCGUAGGCGAGUCCAGAAUGAAUGGGAGCCAACGGGGUUUUAUCCUCAGAAUCCACUUUUCUCACGAUGUAAUUUUUUGUCAAGUAAUUUUAAAGUUGCUAUCAAAGGGUGGGGCUAAGAUAAUAAACUCAGCUGAAUAUUGCAUUUUUUAAGGUCACGUAUCUGUUCUAAAAAGGCGUUAAAAACAUGCGAUGACGUCACACACUGUAAUACUGUCAGAGGUACUGCUUUACGGCAGUUUCUAAAGCACUUCCCUUGUCCCGCAACGAUAACACCAGCUGUUGGAGUCGGACCUUGAUGCUGUGACAACGGACAAGUCUUCUUCCUCUGUCCUUUUCCCCUGCCUCUGUUCAGUAUGUUCAGUGUUGUUAAAUCAUCUUUUUUUUUUAUUAGUUACUGUUCUUAUUGUGUUCUUGUUAGUGUGAUUUUUGAAUAAACUUGCCUGUUGCAAUGUUGGUAUAAUGUUUGUAUAAUUACUGUUAUACAACUGUUACUGUUUCAAUGUGACCCAGACCAUAUUUCUCAUUUAACAAACAUGUGUAGCUUAUAAUGUGUUGCAUGGCAGAGCAAUUACGGUAUAU